UGAACGCUGGCGGCGUGCCUAAUACAUGCAAGUCGAGCGAACGGACGAGAAGCUUGCUUCUCUGAUGUUAGCGGCGGUCGGGUGAGUAACACGUGGAUAACCUACCUAUAAGACUGGGAUAACUUCGGGAAACCGGAGCUAAUACCGGAUAAUAUUUUGAACCGCAUGGUUCAAAAGUAAAAGACGGUCUUGCUGUCACUUAUAGAUGGAUCCGCGCUGCAUUAGCUAGUUGGUAAGGUAACGGCUUACCAAGGCAACGAUGCAUAGCCGACCUGAGAGGGUGAUCGGCCACACUGGAACUGAGACACGGUCCAGACUCCUACGGGAGGCAGCAGUAGGGAAUCUUCCGCAAUGGGCGAAAGCCUGAUGGAGCAACGCCGCGUGAGUGAUGAAGGUCUUCGGAUCGUAAAACUCUGUUAUUAGGGAAGAACAUAUGUGUAAGUAACUGUGCACAUCUUGACGGUACCUAAUCAGAAAGCCACGGCUAACUACGUG
rnacentral:rRNA from 1 species